GAUGAACGCUGGCGGCGUGCCUAAUACAUGCAAGUCGAGCGAACGGACGAUAAGCUUGCUUCUCUGCUGUUAGCGGCUGACGGGUGAGUAACACGUGGAUCACCUACCUCUAAUACUUGGAUAACUUCGUGAAACCGGAUCUAAUACCGGAUAAUAUUUUGAACCGCAUGGUUCAAAAGUUCAUGACGGUCUUGCUGUCACUUAUAGAUGGAUCCGCGCUGCAUUAUCUAGUUGGUAAGGUAACGGCUUACCAAGGCAACGAUGCAUAGCCGACCUGAGAGGGUGAUCGGCCACACUGGAACUGAGACACGGUCCAGACUCCUACGGGAGGCAGCAGUAGGGAAUAUUCCGCAAUGGGCGAAAGCCUGACGGAGCAACGCCGCGUGAGUGAUGAAGGUCUUCGGAUCGUAAAACUCUGUUAUUAGGGAAGAACAGAUGUGGAAGUAAAUGUGGACAUCUUGACGGUACCUAAUCAGAAAGCCACGGCUAACUACGUG
rnacentral:rRNA from 1 species